GGUGGCGUGUCCGAGCGGCCGAAGGAGCACGCCUCGAAAGCGUGUGAAGUGAAAGCUUCCGUGGGUUCAAAUCCCACCGCCACCG
rnacentral:tRNA from 1 species